GAGCUGUCCCUGCAGCAGUGAUGUGAUGUGGCAGCAUCCUCACACCGCUCUGCUCCCGCUGUCCCAUGGCCACACUGCUGCUGCCUCCGCUACCUGCGUGCCGUUGCGUUUCUGUGCCUCUCAGCAUGCACGUACAAUCUGGGCAAAGAUUCCUAAGGAAUGAUUUAUUAACUAUAAUAUGGUUAUAGUUGCAUAUAUAUAAAUACAUACAUACCAGCCGUCGUUAUCUAUAACUGAAGGCACAUUUUAAGUUCACAUGGGCAAGACUGCUGCGUCCCCUGUGCUGCUCCCCAAGAGCCAACGCUGCAGCACCGCUGUGGUCCCCUCUCCUGCGGCAGCAGCGAUGUGUCCCUUUCAGCAGCAGGGUGCCCAUGAGCGCAGUGUUGCUGUGUGUGCGUUCGCCCGUAGAUCUUUUGCCUGCAGUGAAGUGCCAAUGAGUGCCCACCCCGACUGCUCUCCGCUCCCACCGCAUCCCUCCAUCCUCCCCCCCUUUGCGUUGACUACUGCCAGGAUCGCUCUGUACACCAUCCGUCACUGCCAUCAGCAUCGAUUUUGUACGUACAGUAAUUUCCCUUUUAUAUGUCAGGUAAAUAUUUGUAAGAGUUAUACUCACACAAAGGAGAUUAUUAUGAUGAUUACUAAUAUAUUUUUUUUCCAUGUUUCAUUGCCUGAGUAAAAAUGGUGUUUAUCACUCUUGAAAGGUUUCAUGCUGUUUGUAAGGGUGGUGAGCGGCUUGGGAGGAUUUAACUCCUGGGAAGGGCCUGAUUCUACCUCGUGUGUGUGGAUGGGGUUGGGGUUGGGGCUGGAUUAGGGUUAGAAGAGCAGAGCACAGCC
rnacentral:lncRNA from 1 species